UUGCCGCCUUCAUCCUGGCAGC
rnacentral:misc_RNA from 1 species